CUAGGCGCCAAAAUUUGAAUUCUAAAAUUCAACUUUAGGCGCCAAAAUUUGAAUUCUAAAAUUCAAAUUUUGGUGCCAAC
rnacentral:miRNA from 1 species